rnacentral:lncRNA from 1 species
UUUCAGGAAACCUUAACCCUAUCCACACUAGUCCUCGUCGGAGAAGAAUAAGAAGGGCGGCUGAAAAAUAAACCGACCGUCGUCGCCGCCGUACCGGAGCCACCGCCGAUGUCGAAUAAGUAUUUUUUCUCCCCCCUUCCCGCUUGGAAUUCAAUCUCGAAUUUUUCUAUGAUCAUAUCGGAGCCAAAAGGGCUACGGGUGAGCCGAAAAACACGAACAAAGCUUGGCUGAACCGCUGUAG